rfam:Myotis davidii contig315256, whole genome shotgun sequence.
GUGCUCACUUCGGCAGCACAUAUACUAAAAUUAAAACGGUGUAGUGAAGAUAGCAUGGCCCCUGUGGAAGGAUGACAUGCAAAUUGGUGAAGUGUUCCAUAUUUAA